UGUUGUGCCGAAUUCUGCACCCCCGCCGUAAAAUGCACCCCCUGUCGGGAGCGCGCUUACGUCACUCGGUUGCAUCACCCGUCUCGAAAAGUAGCUAAACUCGGCUAAAAUCGCCCCUUUCGGCAUAAAAAUGUACAUAACAAGGUGAAUAAUCCAAGUUGUCUUUACUUUGGAUAUAUUAAUGGAUGGAUUAAUUGUGAUUCUUUAAUGAUUUCGCCGCCAUUGCCUUUAAUGAUUUCGUCGUCAUUCAAUCGCCUCUUUCGGCAUAAAAAUGUACAUAACAAGGUGAAUAAUCCCAAGUUGUCUUUACUUUGGAUAUAUUAAUGGAUGGAUUAAUUGUGAUUCUUCAAUGAUUUCGCCGUCAUUGCCUUUAAUGAUUUCGUCGUCAUUCAGAGACAUCAAGGAGAACGAAUGUUUGCUGCUUCACUCGACGGGAUCCAAUACAUGUAUUUUAAAAAUAUGACAUUUUCUUUAACUGUAAGAAGCUCAUGGGUGGAUGGAUGAAUACAUUAAUAAAUGAAUGCAUCUGA